AGCGAACGCUGGCGGCGUGCCUAACACAUGCAAGUCGAACGUGAAAAGGGGCAACCCUGAGUAAAGUGGCGUACGGGUGAGUAACACGUAGGUAAUCUACCCCAGAAUCUGGAAUAACCUGCCCGAAAGGCGGGCUAAUACUGGAUAGAGCGAUGGAACUCGUAAUUGGGUUUUUCGGGAAAGGGAGCUCGCAAGAGCCUUCGUUUUGGGAUGAGCCUGCGUCUGAUUAGCUAGUUGGCGGGGUAAUGGCCCACCAAGGCGAUGAUCAGUAGCUGGUCUGAGAGGAUGAUCAGCCACACUGGAACUGAAACACGGUCCAGACUCCUACGGGAGGCAGCAGUGGGGGAAUCUUGCGCAAUGGACGAAAGUCUGACGCAGCCACGCCGCGUGAGUGAAGAAGGCC
rnacentral:rRNA from 1 species